rnacentral:lncRNA from 1 species
UAUAUUUUGAUAUUGAUAAACUAUUUGCAAGUUUGCAACUAACAAUCUUUUAUUUUUUUAAAAUUUCUUCAGUUUAUUAAAUAGUUAACGUACAUGGUGAAACAAAAUAAGAUUUCGUUAAAUUUAUAUAUUAUUUCUGUUUUGUUUAAUGUAUUUUUUUUCAAUUCAGAUUUAUAUGCUUGUCAUUUUCUGUUAUAUUUCCUUCCUAUACAUAUGCUUUUGAAAUUACCUCAUUUGUUGAAUCUAGAUCUAUUUUUCUCCUAUAUAAAAUGUUUUUACUAUAAAUAUGUGUGAACUUUUAAAUGCUUGUUAAUAGGUAAAGAUACAAUUAAGAGUGUCCAAAUUUCGAUGAAUACCUAAUUUUUUGGCAUCCACAAAUAGUUUUUGUAAUGAAUUUUGAUGCUUUCUGUUAAUUCAAUAAAAUACAAUCAAUUAUGAUAAAUUUAUCUUUAAUGGGCUGAAAAUUAUGUUUAUUAACAUAAUAAAAUUAUAUUAACCUCAGCCUUUGGUCUCAGUUAAUAUGAUAGUCUUUGAUUGGUUGAAAAUAUGUAAGAUCCUAUUCCUCUUGGUAAAGAAAGAAUAUACCAGUAGAUAAAUGUGUAUAAAUCAUGAAAUGAAAUACUACAAAAUAAUCAAUAAAGCCAAUCAUUUUUUAUUUUUAUGCUUCACCUUGAUUUUUCCUUGACAGUUGGCCACAAUCAAUUUCAAGCUUAGAAUAUUACAGCAAGCUAUAUCUAGAUGAAUCAAUAAACCACCCUUGGCCCCUAUAAAUCUGCCCUCUGUUGAAUAUGAUAUUCCAAGUUCCAACACAUGAUCAACAGUUUAAUAAAAAUAAAUUGAAAUAAAAGCUUAUUUUUUUAGAAUUACAUUAAGAUAAAAAGAUGUCUUACGAAGAAAACAAUCAAUUAUUUUUAAUGACAUGAAUUCAAGGUUUGUUUACCAAAGAAAAAUAGUAAUAGCCUUGACCUUUUGGUCUCGGUAAAUUUGAUUUUCUUUGAUUUAAUUGUAAAAAUAGAUAUACUCAAAUAAAAAACCGAAAAACAGAUGAGUUGAAAAAGAAAAUCUUGACAUAAGCCUUACAUAAUUUGUUUACUCUAACCAAAGGCUUAUUAUUAAUCAUUAAAUACAUGAUUUGUUAUCUUGGUAGAUAAAACUUAAAACAAAGAAAGAAAAAGGUCAUGGUCAAAAUUUCACAUCAUCAAUUAAAAACUGUUUUCAGUGUGAAGAAAACUAAUUGAGUUGACAAAAAGCUGUUGAAAAUUAUACAAGAAAACUAGAAGUGUAUGAAAUUGAAAUAAAGAAAAUUGAAUAAGGCUUACAGAAUUUGAUAAUGUGUUAUAUAUAUGAUAAUUCCAUCUUGCUUUAUAUAUUUUUUCCAAUAUGUUAUUGAAAUUAUUAUUUUACUUAAAAAAAUUGCCUUAAUAGUUUAUUUUAUAUUGAAAAGUCAUUGUUUUUCUCUAUAUGUAAAGAGGAAGAUAUGUUAUGUUAUGAG